rnacentral:rRNA from 1 species
ACAUGCAAGUCGAGGGGUAGAAGGAGCUUGCUCCUUUGAGACCGGCGCACGGGUGCGUAACGCGUAUGCAAUCUACCUUUUGCAGAGGGAUAGACCCAGAGAAAUUUGGAUUAAUACCUCAUAGUAUGUGAGGAUGGCAUCAUUUUCACAUUAAAGUCACAACGGCAAAAGAUGAGCAUGCGUCCCAUUAGCUAGUUGGUAAGGUAACGGCUUACCAAGGCUACGAUGGGUAGGGGUCCUGAGAGGGAGAUCCCCCACACUGGUACUGAGACACGGACCAGACUCCUACGGGAGGCAGCAGUGAGGAAUAUUGGACAAUGGGCGCAAGCCUGAUCCAGCCAUGCCGCGUGCAGGAUGACGGUCCUAUGGAUUGUAAACUGCUUUUGUACAGGAAGAAACACUACUUCGUGAAGUAGCUUGACGGUACCGUAAGAAUAAGCACCGGCUAACUACGUG